ACCUGCGUGAUUUGACGUUAGCUGCAGAAGAAGCACCGGCUAACUCCGUGCCAGCAGCCGCGGUAAUACGGAGGGUGCGAGCGUUAAUCGGAAUUACUGGGCGUAAAGCGCAUGCAGGCGGUUUGUUAAGCAAGAUGUGAAAGCCCCGGGCUUAACCUGGGAACAGCAUUUUGAACUGGCAGGCUAAAGUCUUGUAGAGGG
rnacentral:rRNA from 1 species